rnacentral:lncRNA from 1 species
AGAACAGCUAGAUAGAGUCAUAGCAGGAACACCUAAACAUGACAUCCUCUUAGUAAUGGGAGACUUUAAUGCAAAGGUUGGAAUGAACAAUGAAGGUCAUGAGAACAUCAUGGGAAGGCAUGGAAAGGGAAGAAGAAACGAAAAUGGAGAAAACCUCCUUGAUAUUUGUCAAAGGAACAACUUAGUUAUUACUGGCACAAUCUUUCCACAUAAAGACAAACACAAAGUAACAUGGAUAUCACCAAACAAGAAAACAGAAAAUCAAAUAGACCAUAUCCUGGUUACUAGACAACACAGAACAUCAAUACUGGACACAAGAGCAAUGAGAGGAGCAGACAUUGGCAGCGAUCACGAACUCCUCAAAUGCAAAUUAAGAAUCAAACUUAAAAAACAUAAAAUAGUAAUGGAUACUACAAGGAAGAGAUUUGAUACCACCAAACUGCAACGUCCAGAAGUAAGAAAAGCAUUUUCAAUCGAGCUUAAGAACAGGUUCCAACUCUUAGACGAACUAGAGGACAUAGAAACAUUCUGGGAAGGAGUAACAAAAUGCUAUAAAGAAACAGCAACUAAAACCUUAGGUUUCAAAGAGCGUGGGCAUAAGCCCUGGAUCUCCAAUGAGUCAUGGAAACUUGUAGACGAGAGAAGACAACUAAAGGAAAGAACUAACAACAGUAGAUCAGAAAGAGUUAAGAACAGUUUAAAUGCCAAGUAUAGCGACAAAGACAAGGAGGUAAAGAAAAGUAUGAGAAAUGACAAAAGGCAAUGGACAGACAACUUAAUUGAAGAAGCAGAAAAAGCAGCAAGCAAUGGUAUGAUGAAAACAGUAUAUGAGGUUACUAGAACAAUUUGCAAUGAAAAACAGAAACCACCUCAAGUCAUCAAAGACAAGUCUGGAAAUUUAUUAUCAAACC